rnacentral:rRNA from 1 species
CCUACGGGUGGCUGCAGUAGGGAAUAUUGGACAAUGGGCGAAAGCCUGAUCCAGCCAUGCCGCGUGAUAGAUGAAGGCCCUCUGGGUUGUAAAUAUCUUUUAUCUGGGAAGAAACUCCUCUAUUCUUAGAGGCCUGACGGUACCAGAGGAAUAAGCACCGGCUAACUCCGUGCCAGCAGCCGCGGUAAUACGGAGGGUGCAAGCGUUAUCCGGAUUCACUGGGUUUAAGGGGUGCUUAGAAGUCUUGGGAGAAAGCUCCGGGCUUAACUUGGAAACUGCCAUUGAUACUGUCAAUCUUGAAUGUCGUAGAGGUAAGCGGAAUGUUGCAUGUAGCGGUGAAAUGCUUAGAUAUGUUACAGAACACCAAUUGCGAAGGCAGCUUACUAUGCGAUAAUUGACGCUGAGGCACGAAAGCGUGGGGAGCAAACAGGAUUAGAUACCCGAGUAGUC